rnacentral:lncRNA from 1 species
CAGAAGUUACUGAAUACAUCAUAAGCAUUAUCCUUACUUCUCAGGAAUUUUACCCAUGUCCAUCUGCUGUGAUCAUCAACAAUGACUAAUCCAUAUUUACUUCCAUAUAAGGAUGCAGUGUUAACUGGUCCAAAUAAAUCAAUAUGAAGUAAUUCUAAGGGUCUGGAGGUUGAGACAAUGUCUUUUAUUUUAAAAGAUGAUUUCAGAAUUUUCCUUUUCUGACAUGCACCACAAAGUGCAUCUGAAUGAUAAUCAAUGUCAGG